rnacentral:lncRNA from 1 species
UACGCCGAUCCUUUUCAUCAUGUUUGCCAAAAAUGUCUUUUCUUUACUUUGCAGGACCUGGUCCAGUUAUUCGAGUUGUGGUGGUGGUGGUGUUACUUUUAAUUGCAGCGUCAACUAUAGGUGGACUUUGGGUGUUAAAAAGGAAAGGAAAAAGUUGGAGUGAUCUGAGGACAAUGACAUGCCGGGACCGAUGCAGGUUAUUUAUACCUUGCAUUAAGGAGCGCAAGAAGCAUGGAGAUGAGGAAAAACAAGAAAUGACAAACACUGUGACUCCCCCGGUGCCUUCAGGAGAACAUAAGAGCCCUGAAGCUGUUCCACUGAUGCCGAGUGUAACUGAUGACAAUAAGCCCCCUGAAGCUAACACAGAUGCAGUGCAUGAAGAGGAACUAACAGAAAAUGAUCCGGGGUCCACAGCUGAUGGAGAUGACAAUAAGCCCCCUGAAGCUAACACAGAUCCAGUGCAUGAAGGGAAACUAAAAGCAAAUGGUCCGGGGUCCACAGCUGAUGAAGAGCCCACUUUUCUGGAUGUGCGCCUCUGA